UACGGGGGGGGGCAAGCGUUGUUCGGAAUUACUGGGCGUAAAGGCUCGUAGGUGGCCAACUAAGUCAGACGUGAAAUCCCCUCGGCUUAACCGGGGAACUGCGUCUGAUACUGGACGGCUUGAGUUUGGGAGAGGGACGCGGAAUUCCAGGUGUAGCGGUGAAAUGCGUAGAUAUCUGGAGGAACACCGGUGGCGAAGGCGGCGUCCUGGACCAACACUGACACUGAGGAGCGAAAGCCAGGGGAGCAAACGGG
rnacentral:rRNA from 1 species